CUGCCAGCUCGACAACCAGUGCGAUGAAGGGAGGAGAUGUCCAGGACUCCCGUCCCUACCUCAACAGUUCCUUACGGAGAAGAGUGGAGGGUUUGAGCUGGUUUGAGUUAGGAAAACAAGCAGCUGCAGCUGGUUUGGGUUGCUCCCCCUUCCUUCUGCUAUUGCUAUUUGGGGUGACAGCGCUGGCUGUGAUUUGUUCAGCUCCUGUGCUGGCUGCAGAGCUGCACAUGGAGCUGCAGAAGAGGAGGUCCUGCCCUGGGGAGCAAGCA